rnacentral:rRNA from 1 species
UACGUAGGGUGCAAGCGUUGUCCGGAAUUAUUGGGCGUAAAGAGCUCGUAGGCGGUCUGUCGCGUCUGCUGUGAAAACUCAGGGCUUAACCCUGAGCUUGCAGUGGGUACGGGCAGACUAGAGUGCGGUAGGGGAGACUGGAAUUCCUGGUGUAGCGGUGAAAUGCGCAGAUAUCAGGAGGAACACCGGUGGCGAAGGCGGGUCUCUGGGCCGAUACUGACGCUGAGGAGCGAAAGCGUAGGGAGCAAACAGG